rnacentral:rRNA from 1 species
UACGUAGGGUGCGAGCGUUGUCCGGAAUUAUUGGGCGUAAAGAGCUUGUAGGCGGUUUGUCGCGUCUGCUGUGAAAAUCCGGGGCUCAACCCCGGACUUGCAGUGGGUACGGGCAGACUGGAGUGUGGUAGGGGAGAUUGGAAUUCCUGGUGUAGCGGUGGAAUGCGCAGAUAUCAGGAGGAACACCAAUGGCGAAGGCAGCUCGCUGGGACGGUACUGACGCUGAGACGCGAAAGCGUGGGGAGCAAACAGG